GACCAUAGAUAAUAUAGGAGACAGCACGCUAGCGUAUCUAGUCUAUGUAUAUCUGUGGUCGGCACGUCUGGUAGCAUCUCUGGCUGCUGUUGACCUUGUUUUUGGAGUAAAACACGGUGGAAGCUGAAUUAGUGAGGAUGACUCCUGCUCCUGUCAUCUCUAAGCUCCUCACACAUCUUUACCUGCACAUGAGGAAAAUCACUCCUGUAGAAUGCAGGUAUGUUUGUCAUUAUUAUAAAAAGGUGUUGCCUGGUGACCUGUCAGAAACCCAUUAUACAGAGUCAGCCAAAAUAAUGUUUACACACAUCAGGAAAAGAAAAACUUGCAUAAAUAUUUCAAUACCAAAUUUAUUCAGACAUUACGAGAUUAAUAAAAGUUAUCUUUGGCCUCUACAAUUACAAGAGGUGCUCAAAGUGGUGGCCACUGGCUUCCAGACAAUUCUGUUGUGUUGUAGAUGUCACUUGUUGAUGCUCCUUUCAUGAGGGUAAUGCCAUCUGUUGGGAAAACAUCGUACAACAGGACACAGAGUUAUCGUGAUUUGAUCAAACUUAGAAAGAGGUAUCUAUAUGUGUAGAAGUACUUAUACAAAUGAAAUAUUUAUAAAAGUUUUUCUUUUCCUGAUGUGUGUACAUUAUUUUGGCUGACUCUGUGAACUUAAUGAGAACAAAACUGUCAUUUAAUUGUUGCUCUUAAAGCUUCUUUAGUGAAAACCAUCUGGUGUUCUGCUUUGAAACAAACUGCUGUUGAGGUCUGUGUUUUUAGGUUUAACCCCACAGUUUCUGAAUGAACUGAUAGUUUUUUUUUUUUUCCUGAUCAAUGUGGACGUUAUAAUUGAUGGUAACAUUUACUGAUCAUAUAAUCAGCAUGAUAAUAUAACAGUAUAACAUUCUGACCACCUGACUAAUACUGUGUUGUUCACUUUAUGCUGCUAAAACUCCUCUGACCCAGUGGUUCAUCAGAACCUCUGGGGAUGUCCUGUGGAUUCUGUGGAUCCUGUGGGUUGCAGGGUGGGUCCUACCUAGACCAGGCUGAUCCUGGACCAUCCCACAGAUGCUCAAUCAGAUCUGGAUGUGGGGAGUGUGGAACCCAGAUGUUCAGAGGGAGAUGAUGCCACAUCUGGUCCAGCUGAUGGAAGGUCUUGAAGUUCUCUGACUGGCCUCGACUGAAGAUGGUCGUCUCACUGGAUUUAAGGUUCAGAUGCUCAGUAACAAACUCCACCAAUGUGCCAACAAGGAAGCUUUAGGUUUAUUAAAUGUUGCUAUGAAGGUUUCGCUGUUUUUCUUUGUGAAUGCAAUGUGCUCCAACUGAAACUUGAAUUAGAACUUAGAAAUAAAUCCUUCCAUCUGAAAGGAUUUAGUUGCAUUAAUAACCUCAUAACAUUCUAAUUUUUAUUCCAGUCUUGGUUGAAAAUAGAAUCUCUGUAUUGAUUCAGGUAAAAACUGAACUUCACAGUAUGUUGGAGCAAAACAACCAGAUGAAAACUGUGAUGGUGUUGGAUUGUCAGACCGUAAUGUUGCAGCUCAAAGCAGCUUUUCUAGCUCAGUUCAUUCUGACAUUCAGCUAUGAAUCAACACAGCAGAUGGUGAUCCAUGCUGUGGAAGUCUCACAUCUCCUGAUUUAAUGGAGCUGCUUUGCACUUUUUACACUGUUUAUUCACCAACACUUUAUUUAAUAAAAGUCCCAUCUAGUUUUUAUGAGGAAUGUGAUGUUUUAAUUUCUCUGUGAAUAACUGCAGUCUAAUGCAACAGCUGGAGUUGUAACAUCUGUCCUGAUAUUGAUCAUGAAGUAUUGAUCAGAAUACUUAUGGUUAGCAGUCAUUUUACAUUAAAAUCUUUACUUGUGUUGUGAACUUUGGUAAGAAGCAGAAACGUUAGCGUUGCCAUGGAUAUAAGAGUGUUAAAUUCUGUCCAUGUUUCCAUUUUGGGAAAUGCAGUCCAGUUCCAGAAUGUGGAGGAAUUUAGUCUCACAAUCACAGACAACAAAUAUUAUCUGAAAGUCGGGUUAUUGUUGUUUAUCAGCACAAUACAAAAAGGUUAAUGUUAGAAAUAUUCCAGUUAAGACUCUAGAAUAUCAUGAUUUAUGUAAAUUUACCUCAAUAAUAUGAAUGUUCAGGUUAAGAUUGUACAGUGAUAUUAUGUAAGUUUAGCUAAUUAAUGUUUAUAACUCUGCACUGAAAUAUUAUUUAAAUUGACAUCAUUAUUAUAAUAUUUAGGGUCAGACCCUACAGUAUUGAGAUUAAGAAAUCAAAUAUUCUAUAAAAUGUAAAUACACUGAACUCAUUUGGAUAUAUUUAAGUGAGACUACAAUAUUAUUUGACACAAAUCUAUCUAAAUCAAAAUUCUAAUAAUUUUCACGCCAAACAUUUACUGGACUGAUUUAAACAUUAAAAUCACUCCUUUCUAAUCCUCUGCUGUACGUUCAAACCUGAGGCCUUAAAUAGAAACACACAAGUAUCUGAUUGAAGGAACUUCUGCAGAGUCCUGGUUCCAGAACAUGAUGAUAGAAUUAUAGACAAACUUUAACAAAAGCUGCCUGAGAGUUUACAGGUUUUUAUGUUGGAUUUCUUCAGUAAUUUAAUGAGCGUUAUCAGCAAUAAUCAAGUGUUCAUUUGAUGAACUUCAUUCCCUAAAACAUACAGAAUUGGAGCUCAUAUCUUUGACAGCUGUAAAGUUUCUGCUCCUUCAAAGUUCACAACACAAUGAAUGAAUUCCUAAAACACUCUCAAUGCUGAAGCAGUGAUCAGUUUUUCUGUUUCUUCUCUGGAGAUGCACAAUGAGGGACGUCUGCAGAGACUGAGAAAGAGUCUCACCACAUCCUGACAUGAGAAAAAGACUUUAUUGAAGACUACAAUGAGAAAAACUGUCAGACAGCAGACGGCUGCAUUCAAGGUGAGCUCUGAACAUUUGAUCUGGAACAGGAAUUCAAUAACGGCAGCAUAAGCUUCAUUUCAGUCUGUAGCUGCUGAAUUCAUGGAUGAAUCAUCUGGCACUAGAGAAGAAGACCAUCAAACAUCCACGUCAGCUGAUGGAGGUCCAAGAGUCUCACCGAACAACCAACCUACAGAGUGAAGACCUCGAAUCUGAUUGGACGGCCUCCUAUUCAGCCACAUGUGUGAACAAAUGCCUCUAAGUUGAUUUGUUUUCUAAAAUAAAUCUAGUUUGAGUCCUAA